GAGCGAAUCUCAAAAAGCCGGUCUCAGUUCGGAUUGGGGUCUGCAACUCGACCCCAUGAAGUCGGAGUCGCUAGUAAUCGCAGAUCAGCAUUGCUGCGGUGAAUACGUUCCCGGGCCUUGUACACACCGCCCGUCACGUCACGAAAGUCGGUAACACCCGAAGCCGGUGGCCCAACCCCCGUUGUGGGGAGGAGCUGUCGAAGGUGGGACUGGCGAUUGGGACGAAGUCGUAACAAGGUAGCCGUACCGGAAGGUGCGGCUGGAUCGACCUCCUUU
rnacentral:ncRNA from 1 species